rnacentral:rRNA from 1 species
UGCUUUACACAUGCAAGUCGAACGGUAACAGGCCUUCGGGUGCUGACGAGUGGCGAACGGGUGAGUAAUGCAUCGGAACGUACCCGGUCGUGGGGGAUAACGCAGCGAAAGCUGUGCUAAUACCGCAUACGAUCUGAGGAUGAAAGCGGGGGACCGAGCAGCAAUGUUUGGCCUCGCGCGAUCGGAGCGGCCGAUGUCGGAUUAGCUAGUUGGUGGGGUAAAGGCCUACCAAGGCGACGAUCCGUAGCUGGUCUGAGAGGACGACCAGCCACACUGGGACUGAGACACGGCCCAGACUCCUACGGGAGGCAGCAGUGGGGAAUUUUGGACAAU